rnacentral:rRNA from 1 species
UACGUAGGUGGCAAGCGUUGUCCGGAAUUAUUGGGCGUAAAGCGCGCGCAGGCGGUCCUUUAAGUCUGAUGUGAAAGCCCACGGCUCAACCGUGGAAGGUCAUUGGAAACUGGAGGACUUGAGUACAGAAGAGGGAAGCGGAAUUCCACGUGUAGCGGUGAAAUGCGUAGAGAUGUGGAGGAACACCAGUGGCGAAGGCGGCUUUCUGGUCUGUAACUGACGCUGAGGCGCGAAAGCGUGGGGAGCAAACAGG